UAACACGUAUCCAACCUGCCGUCUACUCUUGGACAGCCUUCUGAAAGGAAGAUUAAUACAAGAUGGCAUCAUGAGUCCGCAUGUUCACAUGAUUAAAGGUAUUCCGGUAGACGAUGGGGAUGCGUUCCAUUAGAUAGUAGGCGGGGUAACGGCCCACCUAGUCUUCGAUGGAUAGGGGUUCUGAGAGGAAGGUCCCCCACAUUGGAACUGAGACACGGUCCAAACUCCUACGGGAGGCAGCAGUGAGGAAUAUUGGUCAAUGGGCGAGAGCCUGAACCAGCCAAGUAGCGUGAAGGAUGACUGCCCUAUGGGUUGUAAACUUCUUUUAUAAAGGAAUAAAGUCGGGUAUGGAUACCCGUUUGCAUGUACUUUAUGAAUAAGGAUCGGCUAACUCCGUGCCAGCAGCCGCGGUAAUACGGAGGAUCCGAGCGUUAUCCGGAUUUAUUGGGUUUAAAGGGAGCGUAGAUGGAUGUUUAAGUCAGUUGUGAAAGUUUGCGGCUCAACCGUAAAAUUGCAGUUGAUACUGGAUAUCUUGAGUGCAGUUGAGGCAGGCGGAAUUCGUGGUGUAGCGGUGAAAUGCUUAGAUAUCACGAAGAACUCCGAUUGCGAAGGCAGCCUGCUAAGCUGCAACUGACAUUGAGGCUCGAAAGUGUGGGUAUCAAACAGGAUUAGAUACCCUGGUGGUCCACACGGUAAACGAUGAAUACUCGCUGU
rnacentral:rRNA from 1 species